CGUGUGAAGUGAUCCCCUUUUGUGACCUUCGGACAAGCAAAGUCAAUGGGGAAGCCAGGUUCAGUUAACAACUAGGUUACUAGCUGAAUACCUGCAGUGACUUCCUUAACAACCAUGGCUGAGAAAGGUUGCAAAAUGGGGGAGGGGGGAAUCUAACUUAACAACUGUCUUGCUUGCAAUUUUGAGCUCAAUUGUGUUUGUAAGUCAAGAACGACCCUGUAAAAUAAAAAAGGGAGUGACUCUCAUAAUAGUAAGGUAGCCUAUCAGCAGGCUGGCAUAGGGUGGUAUAAUAGGACCCCCAUUCCCCCAGUUUUAGGCUACAGCAAAAACCGAGUUUCUUUUCAUUUCAUUACUAGUUAACUAAAAGUAAAUUUAGCUGAUGCAAUAACUCUCUAAAUUAUAUCUAAUCGUUUAAUUUCUGUUACAUUCAACAUGGAUAUUUGGCAAUCAAUUUUGAAGGUCUGGAAGGGAGGCAAACACAAGGUUUUCAUGACAACAUGUGGCCCCUAAAAUUCAGUUUAUGCAUCCCUAGUUUAUUUCAUGAGAAGAAAAGCAAUACGUUGGGCUAAAAGGUAGAGGCUACCACUGCUUUGCCGCUUAGCGAGCUGAAUAUUCGGAAGCUAAAACUGGUUCUGCACAUUUUUAGAACUGCCAUCCUUAUCAAAGAAAUUAAAAAGGUGUCCUGAAACACUUCCAGGAAACACUUAAUGAAUCUGUAGCACAUUUUGUGAUGAUGCACUGAUAAAAGGAAAAAACUUCUCCGGUGGCUGUUUUCCAACUGCCUGUUGAACAAAAUAGGAAAUCAGCGUUUACAAGCGUCACUAUGGCUGCAAGCAUGAGUUCGGCUGGGCGUCAGUAGAAUGUUCCUCCUUAUGGACUUCUUUUGUGUGAAGUUGAAUGAAAUGGCAACUGAUGCGCCAUCAGUCCAAAUAGACUCACAUCCCCCUACAACAGAAGCAGGUGCGAUCAAGCUACUAGUGUUUGCCCAGCAGCUUUUCAAACAAAAACUUUGCACAAAAGAGACAACAUUCAAGCAAUUCCUGGGAGGCCCACACAGCAAACCUCUUCCACAAUACCCCAGCUGCAGUCAAACCACAUCUAUCAUUCUUAAAGUCAAUUUGUAAUCCAUACCCUACUAAUAGAAAAAAAAAAACUAUGUGUGAGAAGCUCGGCAAGAAUAGGUAUCAACAUUUAGAGAUCGGUUUUGUUAUAUUGCAUUUUUUUAACACAACUACUUACUCUUAGAGAUUUACAUCUUAAAUAAAAUAAAAUUUCUUGGCAGCAAGAUAAACUGAAAAUCACUGGGCCUUGCUUCCAAUUAACUGCCCAUCAAUAGGGCUGAAAGAACAAAAGUACAGAGGUAUUAUUUGAAUUUUAAAUGUUAUAAAAUGCAUAAGAUCAAUUUAUAUUUCACAGAAAACAGAAAUGAUUUUUAACAGAUAUCUAACAAAAAGGUAUGUGAUACGAAAAGGAACAAGGCCGGGAUGCCCAGUGUCCCCAAUCUUAUUUAUUGAUUAGAGAUAUAAGACAAAGAUGAGAAGAUUGUGGAGGUAAAGAUUUUUAAAAGAGACAAGUUAAGGGCUUUUGCAAAUGAUUUGGUGUUGGUUUUGGAAGUUCCUUUAAAGGGAACUUUAAAUAUUAAUGGACAAAUUAAAGGAAUUUGGUGCAUUGGCAGGCUGGAUGACUAAUAAAUAGAAGAUGAAGAUGUUAACACAAAAAUAUGCAGAUGGAAGAUCAAACAGAAUUGAUGAAUAAAGCAGGUCUUAAGACUUGAGAAGAAGAUAAAGUAUAUGGAUAUCCCUAUGACAAAUGUGAACUUUAUGCUAUUUCAAAGUAACUAUAUUAAGACAUGGAAUGAAGUUAAAAAAAGAUAUGUUAAGAUGGGAUAAACGACAAUUGUCAUUGCCGAGCAGAAUUUCUGUGAUAAAAAUGAUGUUUUGCCUAGAACAAUUUCUUUUUUUUUUUUCAGACAAUAGCUGUUUUUGACAGCAUUUAAACAGUGGCAGAAGGAGAUACCUAAAUUUGUGUGGCUGGGGGAAAAAAAAACACAGAUUAAACAUAAGAUGCUACAAGAUGCAAAGGAAACAGGACGAUUGAAUUUACCUGGCUUGAAAUUAUAUUUUGCAGCUUGCAGUUUGGUUUGGUGGAACGAGUGGGUGUUACUGAGAAACAGAAGGCUUUGGCAUUAGAAGGCGAUGACCUGAGAUUUGGGCAGCAUGGAUAUUUGUAGCAUGAUAAAAUCAAGGUUAAUGUGGAAUUUAAAAAUCCACAUGUUAGAUGUGCCAUACUAAGAAUAUAAAAUAGACACAAUUCCAGGCUGUCCCAAAGUUGUCUUUGUAAUUCUAAGUGCAAGAAACUUUUUAUAGAUGAGGAAUAAUAUGUAAACCCAAAUGGCUAACUUAUUGUUAAAUACUAGAAUUUUGACAAGGGGAAUAUAAAAUAAAAUCAUGGGACAAACCAAGGCAAAGCAACUUGUUGAAAUUGCUAAAUUAACUUGGUUAGAGAAGAGACAAUAGCUACAUAUGUAUAACACUUAUAACUGCUGUAAAAAGAUUAAAAACUACUACUUCGUAUUUUUUCUUUCUUAUUUUUCUUUUUUCUUCCCCGGUAAUGCACUUUUAGCUUUCUUUCUUUUUAAUUUUCUUUCUCUCACUUUAAAUUAGUUGUAUCACCUAUAUUAGUAAUGAAUUAGUAACUACAUAUUAUUUCAUUUUCAUCUUUUUUUUAAAAAAAUCAUUAAUAAAAUUACAUUUAUAAAAAGAAUACAGAGACAUUAUUAGAAUGGUAUAAAUCAGCAAGGAAGCACAUGGAAUUCCAGUCAAUUUCACGGAGCACAAAUAGGUAUACCUAGGGCUAUGUAAGACGCUUACAAUAACUACACAAAUAAACAAGACAUAAUUGUUUAAACAUUCUCAACUGGAAUUAGUAGCGGAUUUAUUUAUAACUGAACAAGAAAAAAAGUUAUUCUACAUAUAUUUUGAGACAAAUUCUCAAAGUGCAAUUUAAAAAUUGUGUGACUUCUAUCUCACACUUUCGUGAUCUGUAACUAAAAAGUUUUGUUUGAACACAAAGGCGGAAACCAGUAACUGCACCACUAAGUUGCCAACACUGUGUUAAACUCACGAACAAGGGCCACUUCAUCAUUCAUAUUCUCAUUUCAAACUGGUAACCCAGGUACUCAUCCAGUUACAUUUUCACUCCUGGGGAUUCAAAUCCGGAGUUUGCUUCAAACUCAAUUCCCCAGGUAUAAAUUAACUUCCCACUUAGGCAUUGUUAUCUGUCUGCCACUCACAGGCAUCAUGGGGCAUGUGAAAGGGAGAACAAAAAGAAAAAUUCAAGUGUGACCUAUCAGAAGAUCAAGAGAGCCAUCUGCAGUUUGAAACCCAGAUGACUCUGAUACUUAUUUAUCCUUCUCUUCCCAUCAAUCACCUUUAGAGACUCCAAAGUCCCAAGUCAGUGACUGCAUCACAGCAAGCAUAUCGCUCUUGUGAUUAACAUCCAUUUGCAACUUCAGAGUCAGCCUUGUUCACAUCUGUGCCCUCUUGUGGCUUUCACGUAAAUCAGAGACAGCACUCUAUCUACGCAAAGAAGAGCGGUGCUUUGUUUGGUCUUUGUGGGGUGAAGAUCCCUGCAUUAACUCCAGAACUUCCAUCUCUCUCUCUCAAGAUGAGCUGUGCAAUUUGGGUCCAUAGGAUAUUUGGAAGGAAAAAGCAAAUUCCUGAAUCCUAAUCAAUGUCAUCAUCUUGGAUCUGGACAGACAGACUUGACCCUUAUUUGAAAUGGUGUCAAAAGUUUCAAAAGCCGGACACCAAACAGGUAAACUAAAAGAGAUUUAUUGUUGCAGAAACAGGCAAAGCCAAAAAGGCUGCAAUUUAGGCUUGUUUGUUUUGAAAGUCACUUGUCGUAAGCCUGAAUACUCUUCCACUUUCUGGCACAGUAAGUGAAAAGGAGCAAGUGGCAGCCCGUAAUAGGAAAAAAGGCAAUAAUAUUGUUCUAGAAUUUAUGUCAGGUAAAUUAUAUAUCAAUUAGUAACUUAUUCAUCCAUAAAACAAACAUUUUUUUUAGAAUGCUAGUAUUAUCCUUCACUAGCGAGGUGAAGCAGAACUAAUGUCAAUCUUAUAUCUUUAAAUCUUUGCAUAAAGCUUGAUCUUUGGAUUACAAUGUAAAAAGUUAGAAAUGGUGUUACAGAGGAACUAAUUUGGAUUGCACUGUUGACCCAAACAGAGAGAAUACCAGGCAAACUGGUCACUUUAAUUUAAUAUUAGCAGUUUCUGAUUUUCCUGUUCUAAUAAAACUACAUCAAGAUCUACAGUUGAUCCUGUCAAGAAAACAACAUGGGUGAUUCUAUGUCACUCACCAGGAAUUAAGCUUUAUUCAAAUGUAACAUUAGCUUACUUUACAUAUUUAAUGUGUGAGAAACAUAUUAAAUGACAUUAACUUUAAUAUGUUUAUUUUAAGUAGAAUUAUGGCUAGGUCUAAUCUACUAAAUUUAUCAAGAAAUUAACUUCCACAAAUGAGCUAGUUAUAUCCUGAUCAUUUGUUCCAAACAAUUGAGAAGAUAUGUUAUCUGAUAUAUACCGAUAUAUAUGACAUAUACUGUAUACACACAUCCAUAGAUACACAUACAUGCACACACACACACAAUAUGUGUAUAUCAUGUGGGGGUUGGGGAGUGUAUAUGUAGACACAUACACAUACACAAUUUCAAUAUAUUUCUAACAAAAGUCUACCUGUUAUGCUUUUAUCAAAUGUCUCAAAUCAUUUUCACUGAUGCUUAAUGAUACCAGCUCAAGUUACACUUUCCAUUAAUCAGUCGGCUUUUUUAGGCAAUAUAUAUAAUAAGCAUUAUCCUUAAAUUUAUUCUUAACAUUAGUAGAGAUUAGUAGCAAUUUCUAGAACAUAUUUUUUCCAUUUCUGGAACAGCUUGGUAAUUAACUAUCAUAUAUACAUGAUAUAUGAAACAGAGGCAUGUUAUCCAAGAUAUUCAAAAAAUGGAUUUUUAGUAGAAUAACAAUCGUUCAUUGCCUUAUGCACAUAAAAUACCUUGAUCAAUGAGAACAAACAGAAUAUAAUGAUCAAUGCAAAAAUGAUUAAAUUAGUAUUCUUAAAGAAUUUGUAACUAACAGCCUCCUGCUAAAACAUUUGGCUAAUGAAACUGAUGAACAACUUUAAAAAAAACAUAAGACAGUGGAAAACCAAAAACUUAGCUACAUGAUUAAUUUCUGUCAACAUCCACCUUACAAAGUAACCUUAAAGAAAAGUUUACAUUUAUCCAAUAUCCUUUCAAUGCAGUGCAAUAACAAACAGAGACUGUGACAUUUUACAAGGUCAUUACUGAAAAGGCUACAUAACAUUGUGCUCUAUAAGGUCAUAAUGCAACUUUAACUCCUAUUAACUUCUAUUAAUAAGGCCAAAUAUAAUUCAGUUCCCAUCUCCAUUUUCCAAAUCCCACCUUCCUAUUUAAAUAUUGUUUUUGGUUCCCAAACUCUGUCUAUUUAAAGUCUAUUUUGUCUGUAAGUUUUCCCCCUGAAUAUCAACCACCCAAGACAAGGUUUAAAACACAUACUGUCUUGUAGUUAUUUACUUAUUAAUGGAAAGUUACAUGUCUUUGUGGGCAGAAUUAGAACCAAUGAAAGCGAGAUGUCUGCUUGAUAAUAUUCAACAAAAUAUCCUUGAGAAGUUUGACAAAUUAUAGCUCUCAAUUAUAUGCGAACUACGGUAUGUAUUUUUGAGCCAAAAUGUCCUCCACAGUAUAUUUUUCACCUGUUUUUGUCUUUAAAGGAUGCCACAAACGUGUUUAACACAACCACAUCUUACUGACAUAAAUCAGUCUAUUUUAUGAGUAAAUUAUAUGCUGAAACAGACUUUUCCAUAAUUUGUUCCAAACCCAGUUAUUAAGAAUUUUUUGUCAGACAGCCAUUAUCAAGAAGAUGAUAGCAACACCGGCAAUCCACCAUAAUAUAAAUGGAAAACAAACCUCAUUCUUUACCAGCACUGAUGAUGUCACCAAGUUUGGUAAUGAAACAUCUGCAAGCAAACAACCAAGCUCAGAGAGUACCGAGGACUCUCAAGCAGAACCUUCUUUGUGCCUCGUACUUAAAUAUAUUUAAAACCGAAGAGACUGGACGUUUUAAGAAGAGGCUGGACAGUCACUUGCCUGAGAUGGUAUAGGUUCUCCUGCCUGAGCGGGGAGCUGGACUAGAUGACUCCAAGGUCCCUUCCAGCAAUAUUCUAUUCAAAAUGUACUGUUUUUGCUACCACUUAUAACACCUUCAAUGUUACAUUCUAUUUCUACUUCCAUGGCUGUAUAUAAAAGGUUUAAAUAUUUCCAUUACUUGCUAGACUAGGUAUUAUAAAGACAGCCUUCAAAACUAAAGAAUCUUCUCAUUUGAACCCUACAUGCAGACUUUCUAAAGAGGUGGUGGACUCUUCUUUUCUGGAAGCAUUUAGAACAGUAAUUAGCAUUUACUAUAAAAAUGAAUUCUUGUACUGGGCAAAAGGUUGGACUAGAUGACCCUCAAAAUUGGUAUAGAUUGCCAUUGUGACACAAGACAGAAAGGAAAAAGAGAAUAGCACAGUUUUCCAAGCGUAUUUGUAAAAUUGUCAGUGACUCAGGACUAGGCUACGAAUGAAUUACCACCUAUUUUUUUCUGCCUCCACUUUGACAGCACAACAAUAACAGUCAAAGGAUUUGCCAGUUUUCCACUAGAUUAAAGAAAGUCUAAGUAGGAAUACUCUAAAGAGCGUUUUCAAGGCAUGCAACAGACAACAAAACUCCAAGACAAUUAAAAGCAAAAAUCCCAAAAUGAAGAGCAUUCAAGUGAAUCCUACAAAUCAUGUAAGUGUAUAACGCUAUUACAAGAAAAGCAAUGACUUUGGAGACAAUUAAAAAAUAAAUGUAAGUCACGUGGUUUUGGAGUUCCCAUACUGUGCCUUCUGCCAUGUUUCAAUUUAAGAGAAUUUCAGGGAGUUAAAAGCAAAUGUUUAGCGCAUUUGCAUAACCAAGAUCUCCUUGAUCAUCCAUCAACAUUUGGAUUCCUGAAGAUUUCAGUCUCUAUGUAAGAUGAUAAAUCUAUCAUAGCAGGUAUUGAUGGACUGCCUUUACAACUGUGAAGAUGAUGGAUUGAGAGGGUACUUCGGAAGAGCAAGGAACUCCAUCCUCCCAUCACUCAUAAAGUCAAUGGUACCCAUUAACUUAUUCAGGCUUUUUUGGUAUGAAUUUUGAAUGAAUCACUGCAAAGUGCUUCUAUAUAGCAAGCAACAUAAAAUAGAUUCCAUUUUACUCUCCAUUUCCAACUAACAACUGGGGUCCAGACUUUCAAAUGGCAAUGUUACAACUCACGAUACCUGGCUAUCGUCUUCACAAAUCUAAAUUGUUUAUUCUGAUGAACUUUAAAUUGUGAUUCUCAUAUGCUUAUAACGGAAUCUUUUGUAAAGCGAGACAAAUAAAGACAAGGGGAUGAACUAAAA